UACGUAGGUGGCAAGCGUUGUCCGGAUUUACUGGGUGUAAAGGGCGUGUAGGCGGGGAGACAAGUCAGAUGUGAAAUCCCAGGGCUUAACUCUGGAGCUGCAUCUGAAACUGUUUUUCUUGAGUGCUGGAGAGGAAAGUGGAAUUCCCAGUGUAGCGGUGAAAUGCGUAGAGAUUGGGAGGAACACCAGUGGCGAAGGCGGCUUUCUGGACAGUAACUGACGCUGAGGCGCGAAAGCGUGGGGAGCAAACAGG
rnacentral:rRNA from 1 species